GUCCACGCGCUGCGGCCUUGGAGUAACUGCUGUUCUUAAAGGCUGCCUCCGUCCUGCCGCGCGGCCUUUAGAGGGUUGGAGCUGGCAGAACCGUAACUCCCUCUCUGAGGGUGAAUACGGGCCUUGAUUGCCAGAAGGGCCCUCGGCCGGGGACGCGGGAUGAUGCGGGGCCGGGAGAUGCUUUCCUGGAGGCUGAGAAACCUGGAGGGAGACCCCCAAAACUUCUCAGUUCGCCGACCCCUUGGUCCCAGAGGGAGAGGAGCAUCCCCAAAGAACAUUCAAGUCUGAGCCUCAAGGAGCCUCUGCGACUCGGUGUCUAGAUCCAGGAAAUGGAGAAUGAGCCGUGACUUUGGAUGCUUCACUCUUGUCCAUCAGGCUCGGAAUUGGGUAGCCCGGCUCUGCAGGGACAGUCACGGAGCUGAAAAACUGCUGCCUAAUGAAGCUGUUUUCUUCUACCACCGGCUCACCCUCAAAUUAUUUCCUGAGCGAACUCAAGAACCUUCCUGGGCUAAGCCCCAAUUUUGGGGCUCGCCUGCCCCUGCAUCACAGCUUCCUCUUCUGUUCACAGCUGCAACCGCCUACUCAACCUUCUGCGGUUCCUCUCCCUGCCCCUCCACAGUGGCUGCUGAUGGGAGCUCUGGCUCCCUGCGUUUUCACUAUCUCCCAGUCAAAUGCAGAGUCCCUGUGCAAUUUAAAUGCUUCUCAGCUAAGAACAGAGAAGGGGAUAGCAUAAGGAUAUUCAAAAGAUUCAAGAAAUCUCAAAAGUGAUCACAAAACAUUUGUCUCUGACCAACCAGAAACAUCGACGGGUGAGAAGGGCAUUUCCUCUAGCUGAAUUCUUCAUGGGUCUUCAGGCUCUGUUUUCACUUUGGAUUUUCUGGAGUCUCCUGAAGGUUACCUGAAAUCUUGUUGGUCCUGAAUAUUGUAUGUGGAGUCCCAAGCUGCAAGAAGUCAGUGGGGCUGGACGGGAGCCAAAAUCAGAGACUCAAGCAGCACAGCUGGGCCCCAUUGAAAGUGAGACCAGCUGUCCCAGUUGGAAGCUGGGGUAUAGAGCUGGGGAUGGGUGGAGGCAGUGACAGGCUCCAUGUAUUGGUCAUUCAGACUCCCCAGUAGCCUCAGGACCCAACUCCCACAGGUCAGAGAAGACCUGGUGGAGGGCCUUAUGCAAACCUCAGUGGGUGAUGCAGGAGGGAGUUUUCUGAGCAGGAAUGCCAACAAAAAAGGCCUUCAAAGGAAGGCCCUGCUUGGGACAAUCCUGCCUCUUUAUGGUCUGGUUCACAGGUUCCCCUGGGUGGGGUAAUGGAAUCCAAGCUAAGGUGUCUGACUUCAAAAGUUUUCAGAAAUGCCACUUUUGUAAGCAUCAGGGAUUGGGUUUUCUGAGAUGCAAAACAUCUUUGUUAAGGGGUUAAAGCAUCCUUAAGCUGUUUAGGUUUCUGGGGAUACAUAGACUUAGGAAGUUAGAGCAGGUGAAGUUGAGGGGGAUGGGAACUAAGAAUUAGCUCAAAAUAGUCACCAAUGCAGAAACCCAGGCACUUGGGACCCUGACAGUGGGGAAGGCAGAGGAGUAACUGUGGGGACUUGGGCACCCUAUUAGCAGAAUGGGGUAACAGAGAAGGCAAGAAUUGCUUCCCAGGAGACUGGGCUGGGAACAGGAAGGGGACUAAAAUGCUGUCCCUGGCUGAAGAGUGUGGAGGUAUAGAGGAGCUGGUAGCAGGGCUCUGAAUCCAUACACGAGAGCAAGGACCAGUGGUUUCAGGGUGGGAUAGGGCUUUGAUGUCUUCAUGGACUUAGGGUAAUAUUCACCACCAUGGUGAAUUCCACAAAGGAGAAUUCACACAAAGGUCUCGGACCAGCCAGUUUCCAUGUGAAAAAGCCAUCUGGGAGCAAGGGAACAAACCCAGGAAUACAACUGUAUUGGGGGAAAUUCAGCCAGACAUAGGGCAAAAUUCACCCCCAAUAUUUCAUGUAGGUUCUUUUCUAUUUUCCGUAAGUGUCGGCCGGUCUGAGAAAUAAAGGGACAGAGCUCAAAAGAGAGAAAUUUUAAAGCUGGGUGUCUGGGGGAGACAUCACAUGUCGGCAGGUUCCGUGAUGCCCCCCGAGCCGUAAAACCAGCAAGUUUUUAUUCGUGAUUUUCAAAAGGGGAGGGGGAGUGUAUGAAUAGGGUGUGGGUCACAGAGAUCACAUGCUUCACAAGAUAAUAAGAUAUCACAAGGCAAAUGGAGGCAGGGCGAGAUCACAGGACCACAGGACCGGGGCAAAAUUAAAAUUGCUAAUGAAGUUUCGGGCAUGCAUUUUCAUUGAUAACAUCUUAUCAGGAGACAGGGUCUGAGAGCAGACAACCGGUCUGACCAAAAUUUAUUAGGCGGGAAUUUCCUCGUCCUAAUAAGCCUGGGAGCGCUAUGGGAGACUGGGGCUUAUUUCAUCCCUACAGCUUUGACCAUAAAAGACGGCCGCCCCCCGAAGCGGCCAUUUCGGAGGCCUACCCUCAGGGACACAUUCUCUUUCUCAGGGAUGUUCCUUGCUGAGAAAAAAAAUUUAGCGAUAUUUCUCCCAUUUGUUUUUGAAAGAAGAAAAAUAUGGCUCUGUUCUGCCUGGCUCACCGGCAGUCAGAGUUUAAGGUUAUCUCUCUUGCUCCCUGAACAUUGCUGUUAUCCUGUUCUUUUUUCAAGGUGCCCAGAUUUCAUAUUGUUCAAACACACAUGCUCUACAAACAAUUUGUGCAGUUAACGCAAUCAUCACAGGGUCCUGAGGCGACAUACAUCCUCCUCAUUUUACAAAGAUGAUGGGAUUAAGAGAUUAAAGACAGGCAUAGGAAAUCACAAGGGUAUUGAUUGGGGAAGUGAUAAGUGUCCAUGAAAUCUUCACAAUUUAUGUUCAGAGAUUGCAGUAAAGACAGGCGUAAGAAAUUAUAAAAGUAUUAAUUUGGGGAACUAAUAAAUGUCCAUGAAAUCUUCACAAUCCACAAUUAUUCUGCCAUGGCUUCAGCCGGUCCCUCCAUUUGGGGUUCCUGACUUCCCGCAACACAAGUGGAGAGAGAGGUGGCCUGACAUUAUGGCUAAGUUGAUAUGGAAGCAUUCUGGUUUGUUCUAGAAAAAAUGAAAGAGGUGGUGCAGGUAAUCAUCAGCUCCUGGUUCUGUAGCAAGGCUUUUGCUGCAAUCCCAGGAGGUAGCAACCUAGGCUUUGGUUCUGAAAGAAGAGGGUCUACCUUCCUGAAUCAUUUUUAGGAGUCUGCUGAUGGCCAGGCUUGGUGAGUUGGACUCUGUAAGGAAUUUUUAUUUAAGUGAGGUCUGGGUAGGAAAAGAGAAGGGAAAAACUUGACCCUGCCUGCACCAAAGGAUUCUGGGAAGGAGAAUAAAGAGAAAAACCCUUCUUCAUGUUUCUGCUUCAGAGCAGGAGAACCAUCACAAGCUAAGUAAAGUCAAUGAAGGGCGAGUGGCCCUAUGGCCACCUGGGCACACACCUGCCCCUUGGCCACCUUGCAUAGGCAGGCUGAGGAGGUCACUAAGGCUUGGUUUUCCUGACCUGCCCUGAUUCCACAUGCUGUAAGGAGGACCCAGAAGGCUGUGUGGCUACAGAGGUGCCCAGCAUGGUGGGGGUCACUUCAGUGUGGACACUAGACUGGACCGCGUGGAACUACAACCAGCUCAGAGCGCCAGCCAGAGUGCUGUUCUGGCCAGAAGGAGGAGCCAAGACCCACACCCAGGAGGACAAUGAGCCCCUCUCUGCAGACAGGAGCCAGCCACACCUGGGGUCUGGGGAGACUCUUCCUGAUUCCAAAUGGGACUGAACUUUAAACCAGACUGGGCAUUUGAGCAAUUUUUUAAAAGCUGUCAACCAAAUAAAGGAAUGCCAUUUUCUUUA
rnacentral:lncRNA from 1 species